rnacentral:tRNA from 1 species
GCAAGAGCGGCGAAGUUGGAGAGUCGUGGCAGACUGUAAAUCUGUUGCCUUAGGGCUGAGUAGGUUCGAAUCCUACCUCUUGCA